rnacentral:rRNA from 1 species
ACUGCUCAGUAACACGUGGCUAAUCUGCCCUUAGGACGAGAACAACCCCGGGAAACUGGGGCUAACUCUCGAUAGGCGAAGAACUCUGGAAUGAGUCUUCACCUAAAUAGUUCAGCGUUACGCUCGUUGAACCGCCUAAGGAUGAGGCCGCGACCGAUCAGGUUGUUGGUGAGGUAAUGGCUCACCAAGCCUUUUACCGGUGCGGGCCGUGAGAGCGGGAGCCCGGAGAUGGGCACUGAGACAAGGGCCCAGGCCCUACGGGGCGCAGCAGUCGCGAAAACUUUGCAAUACACGAAAGUGUGACAGGGCUAUCCCGAGUGCCAUCCGCUGAGGAAGGCUUUUACCCAGUCUAGAAAGCUGGGGGAAUAAGGAGAGGGCAAGUCUGGUGUCAGCCGCCGCGGUAAUACCAGCUCUCCGAGUGGUGUGGAUGUUUAUUGGGCCUAAAGCAUCCGUAGCUGGCUAAGUUAGUCCCUUGUUAAAUCCACCGAAUUAAUCGUUGGAUUGCGGGGGAUACUGCUUAGCUAGGGGACGAGAGAGGCAGACGGUAUUUCCGGGGUAGGGGUGAAAUCCUAUAAUCCCGGGAAGACCACCAGUGGCGAAGGCUGUCUGCUAGAACGCGCCCGACGGUGAGGGAUGAAAGCUGGGGGAGCGAACCGGAUUAGAUACCCGGGUAGUCCCAGCUGUAAACGAUGCAAACUAGGUGUUUGAACGGCCACGUGCCGUUCUAGUGCCGCAGGGAAGCUGUUAAGUUUGCCGCCUGGGGAGUACGAUCGCAAGAUUGAAACUUAAAGGAAUUGGCGGGGGAGCAC